AACAAACCGGUGAGCAAGAGUAAGUAAGAUGUUUCUAUUUUGCACAGAGAGCCUUCAUAUGGUGGAAGAAGGUCUUAAUAAUUCAUCCGAAUGGACUUGCGAGGGCGCUUUGAAAUCCAUAUUUAUCAGUAUUCAUGGAGAGUAGGUGGCGACGGGGUUCCUAUCCGUUACCAAGGGGAGAUGCAUGUUAGUGCAUUUUUGAGUGGGCGUAGUUUACGCCAAUUUGGGUGGUACCGCAGAAGUUAAUUCAAGACUUUUGUCCCUUUC
rnacentral:ncRNA from 1 species